CACGACGGUCCUCGGGCCGUCCCGGACGAGUGGUGGGCGUACCCGGUCAGGCACGACGCCCCGCG
rnacentral:ncRNA from 1 species